rnacentral:sRNA from 1 species
GGAUGGGGGCGGGGCCUAGCUGGGAGGAAGAACCCGGAAAAGAUGGAGUCACCACGAAGCCCCCAUGCUGGCCCGGAGCCUUGCCGCCCGCCGGCCUGGAGCCAAGGAUACCGCGGUCAGCCCCGUCCCUAGAACCUCCCCUCCCACAAAAGCCCACCCCAGGGCGUUUUGACCCCCGACGGCGGGGCUGCAGCGAGAGUGCACGAGCCCGAGGAGGCAGGGUCUGAUGGGGGCCCGGAGUUCCACGGCUGUUUUCACCUCCAAAGAAACUUUCCCGGACCUCCCGACUGCGCGACGCUCCAACCAACCGCCCGCAGCCCGCCCCCGCCGGCCGCCCCGCCCCUCCCCGCCCCCGGCAUGCUAAUGAAGGCCUCGGCGAACGGUCCCAUUGGAUGUCUAGGAGGCAGAUGCAGCUGCUUUGGAAAACAGACUGGCAUUUCCUCAAAGGGUUAAAUAAAUGUGGAAUCACCAUGCAA